rnacentral:lncRNA from 1 species
UAGAAAAUGGUGAAGCGUGCAUGGCGUGUGGAAGUUAGGACAUAUAUUUCAGCCGAAGGGAUACUCUUAGUUGGUGAUUCAAUCAUCGAUUGAAUGAUGAAAAGUACCGAUGGUCGGUUAUCUUCAGACUGGAGCUCUCCUGGCCUCCUUUUUGAAGCUCUUUUGGCCUCCUUUUUGAAGCUCUUUUGGCCUCCUUUUAGAUUUGCUUGAUAGAAGAAGAGUCUGCGAUUUUAGGUCUUUUGCUAUUUACUUAUGGCCACUAUCUACACUUAAAUGCUUUGUGUAGGUAGCUCUGUAUCAGCAUGAUAUAAU